AAGCCUGCAACAGCUAUGACGGUGAGAGUACUAGACAAAGACUAUAUCUGAUGACAAUCUUCAAACCAACAGAGAAUGGGAUGGUAGAUCUUACUGACUUCUUGGAAAUUUUACAGAAAGAAAGGAAUCAAAUGAACACACCAGUGAGCUUGUUUGAUAUUUCAGUGCUGAUGUUUAUGCUCUUUAGCGAAUUCUCUCUCUUGACAAGCAGGAAGGCAGAGUUGAAGGAAUUUGUAUUUAAGAUGCCAUGUCUUAUCCCUUGUCUUCUGAAAGGAUAGUGCACAACACAAGGGGACCUUGCAAAUAUUUAUGGGAUGAAGAAAUGGAGGUACCUUAAGGAUGUCACUCAGGUGAAUCCUAACAGGAACAGAAAGCAACAAAAAAGAAAAGAACAAUUUCCCUUCAAGGGACUGCCAGAUCUUUAAAAAUGGAACAGCCGGAAGAUCAUUGCAUGUACUCUGUGAAUGAAGUGGGCAGAGAAGUAUAAUUGUGAGUUAAACAUGAGAGGCAUGGGCAAGAAAAGAAGAAAAGAAAAGGAGAGCAACAAGGAUCUUCAGAGAAGCAAUACCCUGCCCCCCACUCUCUCUCUGUGUCUGUCGUGAAGCUUGAACUCUGGGUCUGAGCAUUGUUCCUCAGCUCUUCAGCUCAAGGCUGGCACUCUACCACUUUGAGCCACAGUGCCACUUUUGGUUUUCU